CGUUCCCCCACUAUUGUGAGAACAUGCAUGACUCUUGGCAACGGAUAUCUUGGCUCUCGCGUCGAUGAAGAACGUAGCGAAAUGCGAUACUUGGUGUGAAUUGCAGAAUCCCGUGAACCAUCGAGUCUUUGAACGCAAGUUGCGCCCAAGACCAUCCGGUCGAGG
rnacentral:rRNA from 2 species